rnacentral:piRNA from 1 species
UUUGGUGUCUCGAGACUCAUCAGGCUCAGGU